rnacentral:misc_RNA from 1 species
GCAAACUUGGUCAUUUAGAGGAAGUAAAAGUCGUAACAAGGUUUCCGUAGGUGAACCUUCGGAAGGAUCAUUACCGUAACGCGGCCGCCCACGCGGUGGCCACACGCGUUUAUCACCCUUGAUUUUGAGCACCUUUGUUUCCUCGGCGGGGACGCCCGCCAGCGAGGACCCCCCCAAAACCUUUUUGCAGUAGCAGUUUUUGUCUGAAAACAAAACAAAUCGUUAAAACUUUCAACAAUGGAUCUCUUGGUUCUGGCAUCGAUGAAGAACGCAGC